rnacentral:rRNA from 1 species
AAAUUGAAGAGUUUGAUCAUGGCUCAGAUUGAACGCUGGCGGCAGGCCUAACACAUGCAAGUCGAACGGUAACAGGAAGCAGCUUGCUGCUUYGCUGACGAGUGGCGGACGGGUGAGUAAUGUCUGGGAAACUGCCUGRUGGAGGGGGAUAACUACUGGAAACGGUAGCUAAUACCGCAUAACGUCGCAAGACCAAAGAGGGGGACCUUCGGGCCUCUUGCCAUCGGAUGUGCCCAGAUGGGAUUAGCUAGUAGGUGGGGUAACGGCUCACCUAGGCGACGAUCCCUAGCUGGUCUGAGAGGAUGACCAGCCACACUGGAACUGAGACACGGUCCAGACUCCUACG